rnacentral:rRNA from 1 species
UACAGAGGAGCCAAGCGUUGUCCGGAUUGACUGGGCGUAAAGCGCACGCAGGCGGACGCGCGCGUGGGGUGUGAAAUCUGGCCGCUUAACGGCCAGGCGCCAUCCCAUACGGCGGGUCUGGAGCCUUGCAGAGGUCGGUGGAAUUGCCGGUGUAGUGGUGAAAUGCGUAGAGAUCGGCAGGAACACCCAGGGGAAACCAGCCGACUGGGCAAAUGCUGACGCUGAGGUGCGAGAGCG